rnacentral:misc_RNA from 1 species
GAUAAGAACGCAGCGAAAUGCGAUAAGUAAUGUGAAUUGCAGAAUUCAGUGAAUCAUCGAAUCUUUGAACGCACCUUGCGCUCUUUGGUAUUCCGAAGAGCAUGCCUGUUUGAGUGUCAUGAAAAUAUCAACCUUGACUUGGGUUUUGUGCUCUAGUCUCGGCUUGGAAUUGGGUGCUUGCCGCUUUUACGAGCGGCUCACCUUAAAUGUAUUAGCUGGAUCUGUCUUUGAGACUUGGUUUGACUUGGCGUAAUAAGUAUUUCGCUAAGGACAUUCUUCGGAGUGGCCUCGUUUCUAGGACGCUUGUCCGCUUUCCAAUACAAGUUCCACCUCGUGGACAUGACUUUUUAUUAUCUGGCCUCAAAUCAGGUAGGACUACCCGCUGAACUUAAGCAUAUCAAUAAGCGGAGGA